rnacentral:rRNA from 1 species
CAAUAGCGUAUAUUAAAGUUGUUGCAGUUAAAAAGCUCGUAGUUGGAUUUCUGGUGGGAGCGAUCGGUCUGGCGCUUAGCGCGAGUACUUGCAUCGUCUCCGGCCAUCCUUGGGGAGAGUCUGUCUGGCAUUAGGUUGUCGGGCAGAGGAUCCUCAUCGUUUACUGUGAAAAAAUUAGAGUGUUCAAAGCAGGCUUAUGCCGUUGAAUAUAUUAGCAUGGAAUAAUAAGAUAGGACUUUGGUACUAUUUUGUUGGUUUGCGCACCAAAGUAAUGAUUAAUAGGGACAGUUGUGGGUAUUCGUAUUCCGUUGUCAGAGGUGAAAUUCUUGGAUUUACGGAAGACGAACUACUGCGAAAGCAUUUACCAAGGAUGUUUUCAUUAA